UGGGGAAUAUUGCACAAUGGGCGCAAGCCUGAUGCAGCCAUGCCGCGUGUAUGAAGAAGGCCUUCGGGUUGUAAAGUACUUUCAGCGGGGAGGAAGGGAGUAAAGUUAAUCCCUUUGCUCAUUGACGUUACCCGCAGAAGAAGCACCGGCUAACUCCGUGCCAGCAGCCGCGGUAAUACGGAGGGUGCAAGCGUUAAUCGGAAUUACUGGGCGUAAAGCGCACGCAGGCGGUUUGUUAAGUCAGAUGUGAAAUCCCCGGGCUCAACCUGGGAACUUCAUCUGAUACUGGCAAGCUUGAGUCUCGUAGAGGGGGGUAGAAUUCCAGGUGUAGCGGUGAAAUGCGUAGAGAUCUGGAGGAAUACCGGUGGCGAAGGCGGCCCCCUGGACGAAGACUGACGCUCAGGUGCGAAAGCGUGGGGAGCAAACAGG
rnacentral:rRNA from 1 species